ACGGCGCAUCGGAGGAACCGCGACGUGCGGGACUCCGUGGUGGCGCCGUAAUCGCUGCUGUGCGUAAGGGCCAGCGCUCUGCUGCCGCUGUCUGCGCGCGCGGGCGGCGGGCCUGCGUCCAGCUACCGCCGCCGGCAACGGUGACUCCUGUCCAAUGGGGCGUCAAGCAGGGACGGGUCGUCAGCGAGCGCCGAGCGGCCGCGGCCGAUGGUGGUGCCGCUAUCGCCGCCAGUACGCGAGGGCCGGCGCUCCGCCACCGCCGGCGCCGGCGUGCGAGGCACCGCUCUGCUACCCUGCCCUCCCACCGUACCGGGCCUCAUCAGGUGCUUUCUCCCACAUCUAUUGCUCGCCGCCCCCGCCUACUCACGUCCUUCCUGCAAUCCUGCGACCUCUCUCCCAGUGAUUGUUCUGAUUUGUUUCUCGGGCAUGCCGGUGGUCAAUGGUUGUCGCUGUGCGCAUGGCGCAACGCUCAUAGGUUCUCCCGGCCAUGAGUGCAUGUACAAGACGAGUUAUACAGUGAGUGCGGAGGUGAUGCCCACCAGCGCUCUCCUUGAUCCCACAGUUGCGUUGCUCUUUGCUGGGUUGGUGCCACCGUGCCAGGCUGUCGAGCAGCGCUCCUCAACAUUUAAAUGCACGCACCAUGGCUGCAGCUCGCAAGGUGUUCGGUAGAGUGCUCACAAGGAGGCUUAGGAGACCAAUGUGUUAGGAUGGUGGAUGGGGGCUGUUUGGUCUGACCGUUGUUGUCUAACCACGUCAAGAGCACGCUUGCUCCUCCUCCAGAUCAGAUUGUUUCCCCCCUCCACCUUCAUUGACUGAUUUAGUCUCACAAUGGCCUGAGAUCCCCAAAUCUGUGAUACUAAUAAGACAAACAAUGUCUGAGCAAAAUGGAGGAGAUCAACUUGCUCUUUCAUGGCCUGAAAAUUGGUCCAUGAAGUUUCCGGCAAUGAAAUUUCAGUUCUGAAUUCAACUUAACACCAUAUGCUAAAUUGAGACUUUGCAGAGUCAUAAAAAAUCAAGGUUAUGGGCACAAGUUUCACAGUGGCGACAAGACCGGUCGAAUCAAGCUAUAUAUAUGUGUGUGGCAUACUUUCAAGGAUAUAUAUUUGCUGUCCAUCUGCUUUUAGUAGAUUUGUACAUGCUUCUGUUAGCUCCAUUGGCUAAAUACAAGCAAGCACCUGGCGGUGGUGACAUUCGUUGAUUGCCAGGUGCCAACCAAUAUAAUCAAUUACCAUUUUUCUGUAAUUCUUUCCCUAAGCAUGAUGGUAUAUUAAUCUCCAUUAAAAUACGUACUGUGUCAUAAACUUACAUUUCCUGUAAACUAAAUUAAAUUUCAUAUCCUGUACUAUCUUUGCUUAACUAUACUAUACUCUUUAAAUA